CUACGGAGGGAGCAAGCGUUAUUCGGAAUCACUGGGCGUAAAGGACGCGUAGGCGGGUUUGUAAGUCAGGUGUGAAAUCCUACAGCUCAACUGUAGAACUGCACUUGAAACUACAGACCUAGAGUAUGGAAGGGGCAGAUGGAAUUAGUGGUGUAGGGGUAAAAUCCGUAGAUAUCACUAGGAAUACCGAAAGCGAAGGCGAUCUGCUGGGACAUUACUGACGCUGAGGCGUGAAAGCGUGGGGAGCAAACAGGAUUAGAAACCCCAGUAGUCC
rnacentral:rRNA from 1 species